rnacentral:rRNA from 1 species
CCUACGGGUGGCAGCAGUGGGGAAUAUUGGGCAAUGGGCGCAAGCCUGACCCAGCAACGCCGCGUGAAGGAAGAAGGCUUUCGGGUUGUAAACUUCUUUUGUCAGGGACGAAGCAAGUGACGGUACCUUAGGAAUAAGCCUCGGCUAACUACGUGCCAGCAGCCGCGGUAAUACGUAGGAGGCAAGCGUUAUCCGGAAUGACUGGGCGUAAAGGGUGCGUAGGUGGUUUGACAAGUUGGUAGCGUAACUCCGGAGCUCAACUUCGGAACUACUACCAAAACUGUUGGACUCGAGUGCAGGAGGGGCAACUGGAAUUUCUAGUGUAGCGGUGGAAUGCGUAGAUAUUAGGAAGAACACCGGUGGCGAAGGCGAGUUGCUGGACUGUAACUGACACUGAGGCACGAAAGCGUGGGGAGCAAACAGGAUUAGAUACCCUUGUAGUC